AGCAGUGAAUUUGAGUUUGUUCCAAAAAAAUAGAACAAAACAACGAUUUGGACCACCGCUAAAGAUGCCCUUAGGCAUUUAACAGUUCCCUGUUUGUUUCGCUUAUUCGUACAUGGAUUCAGUUUUGAAAGUACUGCAACGAAUAGUUUACAAUAAAAUAAUAAUCCGCUCUUUGAAAUAUGAGCCACAAGUCAAAUAAGUGUGUGCUGCAGUAGUGAGGGAACGUAACGCGAAGAAUGAGUUCAUAAAAAAAUAGGACACGUCCGCUUGUUCGAAUAACUUCUGUUUUUGUUACAUUGAUUUUGUAACAUAUUGAUCAAGCUAUUUGAGUGUUGGUUCCUAUAUAGCUGGAAGAAAGUAUACUGUUAAUCGUGAUGCUGUUGGAGGAAAAACUAAAAAUGUGUAUAUGUUUGGUGCUAGGUUGUUGGUGGGAACGGCCCUUACAGUAAUACCAGAAGGAAUUCAUUCCUUGUACGAUGCAAGCUCGGAUGAAAGCAGUCUUGAAGUUAAAUACGUGGGCACCUCUCUAACACCGGACAAUAAACACAGCGCUGAUUUAUCCACAUUUGGGCUCUCCCUAGUACUGGGCUUUGUCUCCAUGAUACUUGUACCGAGUUGUAGCUUUUUUACGCGAAGCAAUCCGAAAGAUGGUAAUGAUAUAAAAUAUUAAUAAUUAGGUAACUUGAUGGGAAAUUACUACAACAUAUUAACAAUUUUUCUUAUGUUGUUUUCAAAUUUUAAUUUCCGAAUUUCCUAUUGUUUUCUUUUGCGUAGGGAAGUCAAAUUAACGAAACUGAGUAACAGUUACUCAGUUUGGCUAAUUCAUGCUUUUUUUUGAAAUGAGUAAAUAGUACUCAGUUUUUGACAUUUAUCCAUGCUACUCAAAAAUGAGUAACUAUAUGGUUACUCUGUUUAGGGUAGAUCCACUUUUGACGAAAUUGAGUCAAAACUUACCCAAUUUAGAGUAAAAAAGGCAGAGCGUGUAGGGACUAAAUAAUCUUAAGCCUGUAUCAGACUAACCGUUGCAGCGGUCAACCGCUACUGUUCCGUUCUUUUUCGACCAAUCAAAACACAGCGGUCGACCGUCGCUUGUUGUUGUUGCAAAAGAUAGAAUCAUUUCUAUUUUUGCCGCCGACCGUUCCCAACGGUUGCCGGCUGCUGUCAUUGACAUGGCGAAGGCAAACGAAUCUCUUCACACCUACACAAGAUCACAUAUAGAGACUUGACAAAUGAAAAUGUGUGCUUCUCUUUUUGGCACACACGACAGCCAGUCAAAACAUUGAUAGCACCGGCAACGCUGGUUGGCGAUGUCAAUUUUUGACCAACGCACCCUGGCAAAAAUGAGUCUAAAUUCCCACUAAUUAAAAGCCCCUUAGCUGGAUACCUUUAAUAUAGCAUUUCUUAUGUAAAAUUGGUCAACAAAUUGAUUGGCGAUGGUUUCAUUUUGGACAGAGCACGGGAAAUGGUCUAUUUCGCCUCUUUUCACCAUAUUUUUGCAUAUUUUUGGAAUUAUAGACCCUCUCCCGUGCCCUGCACAGAAUGAAAAUAUUACCUAUCGAUUUAUUGGCCAUUUUUACAUAAGAAAUGUUAUAUUUAAGGUAACCAGCCGAGCGGCUUUUAAUUAGAGGGAACUUGGAUUAAUUUUUGCCAGUGUGCGUUGGUCGAAAAUUGACAUCGCCAAUUGUCGAUUUAUGGAAUCUUUGAAUGAUAAUUUUAAAUUCAAAGUGUUAUUUAUAUUUAUGUAUGCGUGCAAUCGCAAACCAGCACACACACUAGCAUGCUUCAGUUCCACUUUAGUCGAAAGGUUGCGUUGCUGAAACUGUCGCUCAAUUUCAGGCAGAGUUCCCAUUCUUCUUGAUAUGAUGUUUUUGUGAAAACACAGCACACCAAACAUCAGCAAAAUUUUGCUGGUUUCCAGCAAUGAAAAUUUGGUGUGUAGUUCAAAGAAAUCCAAAAUAUAUAUUUUGAUCAAUUCAAGAAUCAUUGAGUUACCAUUAUCCAGCAAAUUAAUUCUAAUUGAAACCCAGAACUUGAAAUAACCUACACGCUCGUCAAAUUUAACUCUAAACUGAGUGAGAUGUCACUCACUUUCGUUAAAAAUGUUUUUAUGAUAUUACUCAUUUAUGGGUGGAGUCACCAUGUGUCAGAAAUUGAGUAGGAAUUACUCUCUUCUUAGAAAACCGCUUUGAAAUGAAACUGAGUAAAAGCUACUCAGUUUGCUCGUUUUGACUUUUGAUCCCUUUGAUGAAUGAAACUGCCAGAGGAUUGUUGCAUACAAUUAUAACAAAAUCACAAGUUUUUUUUUUUAAAUCUUUGUAAUUUGCAUAUACAUAUAUGUAAUAAAACAACAAACCUUAUUAAAUCCUUAGUGUAUCUUCUGCCUUAGCAGCUUCAUUAAAAACCGCAGCAAUACGGUUCACUGUUACCCGGGAACUGUGAAUUGGGGUUUUAAAUAGUACACAUGCCAAAAAAAAACGAUAACCAUUCUCAUAUCUGGAGGAACUCUAAUACACAAAUAAAAAACACUUUUUUCAAACAACACGUUUUUCCAAACAACAACUUAUUUUUAGCGAAACGUUUUUAAAUGUUUCCAAUACCACUCAAAAAAAAAAGAGUAAAGCAGAAAAUUAUGACAAUCUGAGUAACUGUUACUCAGUUCGGUAAACGAAACUUACUCAAUUUUUGACGUUUUAAUAGACAAUGUUAAACUGAGACAAAGUUACUCAAUUUAGAGUAAAAUUAAAGGAGCGUGUAUAGGGUUGUAGGUUUUUACGGCAGGACUAAUUAUCAAAACGUCGCUGAUAAACUGGCAGUCAGGCUCAUUUCCGAUGUUUAUUUUUGUUGUUCCCGCAACACUGCAACCAUCUAAGCCGCCUUUGCACUGUCAGUCCGGCUUACAAAAACAAAUACGUUGAAAUCAUUCCCGCAGUUUAUGUUGUGUGAACACGCAGUUGUUCUAUGUGUUUGUAAAGUCGUAAGGAAGUUCGGGAGUCGUAAGUCCGACUUCCGAAUUUUAAUUAAGUGGUGGUGCCACAAUAUAUAUUUUGACACCGUUCUCUGAAACUGUCAAAACGUUGUCUGCAAACAUUUUGUCAUCAUCUCGUAGUUGCUCGAGAUUCUAGGUUAGACAACGGCGAUAUAAACACGCGUUUUUCAAGCGGAAUAAUUUUAUCAGAGUUUUUGAGUUCUACAACAGAUAAAUUCUCGCGUAAUUUUUCAAAUCGGCGUAAGUCGCAAAUUGUAAAUAAACGGGGUUUUCAUAUUAUAAUAUUAGCUAAGAUGUAAUUUCGGCACUAACUUGAUGAUUCUGGCAAGAAUGAACUUUUCGACACUUUUAAAUAAUUUUGGCAAAACGACCGAACAACCCUACCUGCUAUUUUCAACUUACACCCUUUUGUUAGCAUAUCGACGAAUAUGUGAAAUGAGCUGUCAUGUCAGAUAGGCUCUCAUAAUUUCGGCGAAAGUGAGGCGAUCAUAAAAAUAAAAACAUCAUUCACUUACACCAUUUUGAUUUAACUCAUGAUCUGUUUCGUGUGCUGCUGAAAAAUUUUAAUACUUUCUAUCGGAUUUUGUUGUUAGAAUAGGAAAUAAAAUCUGAAAUGUUUUCCGGGUUGAAGAUGCGUCAAGAUGCAGCCACCCAAAUGGAAAAGAGAUGUCUGCCGGGUAGUGAUCCGACAAGUGAACGGAGUUUCGAAUUGGAUGUAAGAAAGCCGAGAAAUCAAAAAAGGUGCAAUGAUCACCAGUAUGCCAAGCAACCGGAAUCGUCAUUUGUGCACACCGGAGCUAAUGUGAUGUACACAACCUUCCCCUUUAGAUCAACAUCAAAUUCGGGCAUUGUAAAACGGUUUCCGUUUUCCGACAUUUUCAGUGAGUAUUUCCGGUAUUUAAACAGAACCGGUAUUCAACAGAAAAACUUUCCGGUACUUUGUGAUCUUAUAUUUUCUAGAAGAUCGUAGCAACCUGUGGAGGAGGUGAAUGCAAAUAUUUUUAAGUUCAUGGUGCUAAAGUGUGCAAAAGCUAAAUAAUUUUUCUGUUUUGAGCUGCCGUUUUUAAUGUUUUCUGUCUUUCCGGUUUUUCGUAGAUGUCUAGUGAUAAGGCCUGCAUCUAGUAUAAUAGCUAGUUUAUUAUAUCCCCAGAAAUCGCGGGCUGCUGCUGCUAUACUUAUAGCUCUCCUGUUUUGUGUGGAUGGAAACCGCUGGAAAUUUGACUGCAUUGAUUGUGUAUGUUCGGAAAGACCAAGAAGAAGGCCGGAAAAAUAGCACGUGAGCACAGAAGUAAAGUGCAGUGCAUCAUUCUGGAUUUGCAGUCCCAUGAUCUAUUCAUCUAUUUCUAUUUAAGAUUAGGUAUAAAUAUAAUCGUAUUCACACAAUA